rnacentral:rRNA from 1 species
CCUGGGAACGGCAUCCGGAACUGUCAGGCUAGAGUGCAGGAGAGGAAGGUAGAAUUCCCGGUGUAGCGGUGAAAUGCGUAGAGAUCGGGAGGAAUACCAGUGGCGAAGGCGGCCUUCUGGACUGACACUGACACUGAGGUGCGAAAGCGUGGGUAGCAAACAGGAUUAGAUACCCUGGUAGUCCACGCCGUAAACGAUGUCGACCAGCCGUUGGGUGCCUAGCGCACUUUGUGGCGAAGUUAACGCGAUAAGUCGACCGCCUGGGGAGUACGGCCGCAAGGUUAAAACUCAAAUGAAUUGACGGGGGCCCGCACAAGCGGUGGAGCAUGUGGUUUAAUUCGAUGCAACGCGAAGAACCUUACCUACUCUUGACAUCCUGCGAACUUGUGAGAGAUCACUUGGUGCCUUCGGGAGCGCAGAGACAGGUGCUGCAUGGCUGUCGUCAGCUCGUGUUGUGAAAUGUUGGGUUAAGUCCCGUAACGAGCGCAACCCUUGUCCUUAUUUGCCAGCGGGUAAUGCCGGGAACUCUAAGGAGGCUGCCGGUGACAAACCGGAGGAAGGUGGGGACGACGUCAAGUCAUCAUGGCCCUUACGAGUAGGGCUACACACGUGCUACAAUGGCGCAUACAGAGGGCGGCCAACUUGCGAAAGUGAGCGAAUCCCAAAAAGUGCGUCGUAGUCCGGAUUGGAGUCUGCAACUCGACUCCAUGAAGUCGGAAUCGCUAGUAAUCGUGGAUCAGAAUGCCACGGUGAAUACGUUCCCGGGCCUUGUACACACCGCCCGU